rnacentral:rRNA from 1 species
GACAGAGGUGGCAAGCGUUGUUCGGAGUUACUGGGCGUAAAGAGUCUGUAGGUGGUUUGUCAAGUCUUUGGUGAAAGGCCGUGGCUUAACCAUGGGAAUGCCAAAGAGACUGGCAGGCUGGAGGCUGGGAGAGGGAAGCGGAAUUUCUGGUGUAGCGGUGAAAUGCGUAGAUAUGUGGAGGAACACCAGUGGCGAAGGCGGCUUCCUGGAACAGACCUGACACUGAGAGACGAAAGCGUGGGGAGCAAACAGG